UUCUGCCACAUUGCCCAGGAGGCCCAGCAUGUUGCGGUGCAGCUCCUGUUUCUCUGGGAAUUCCUGGCCAGGCAAGGAACAGGAUUAUACACAGGAAGUAAUGCUUGGAGAGAGCAGAGCCAGGGAUCCUGCCCAGGCACCUGCAUCUCCACUGCUCCUGUCAGCAUUUCUCCAGAGACAAUCAGACACUUACUUUCAAGCACUCCAAGAACAGUUUCAUGCCACUGUAGUUAAGGAACAUCUCGCAGUUAUCUGGGGUCUCAUCAGUGAUGUUCCAGAGGGCACUCCAGGAGAACUCCAUCACCUGAUCACACUAGAGGGAAAGGGACACAAUCAGAGCUCGGCUAAUACAGGAGCCUGGUGCUAACUAAUCACCUGUUUAUUCUCUGGCAUCACCCUAGAUGACUCCAGAGAGAACCUACUUGUUAUAUCUUUCUCUAAACCACCGGGACUGAGUGAUGUUCCAAGCUCUUCUUUGUGGUCGUUGUCCACCUGGCAGACCAGGGCAUUGCAGAGGUGCACAGCGAUGCGCUGGAUGGACUCGUCCUGCCGGCUCUGGUUGAGAAUGUUCAGCAGCAGCUCGUUCACUCGGCGGUACUGGAACUCCAGCUCCUCGGGAAUGCUGAAGUUACACAGAGUCAGGCAGCAGUUCCUCUGUACCUGGGUCAAAAGGAAGCAAACACUGGGCCAAGUGGCUACAAAAGCACAGACCCCACCACCUGUUUCCUUGCUGCUUGGUACUGAAACCAUCUUCCUGCCUGACUACAGCUACUGAGAUUUGUUACCCUCUGAUCUAGUGCUGUGCUUUAGCCAUGCUCCAUGACUGUCACUCCAGUCUCACAAGGCCACCCAAUUAUCCAGGGCCUAUUGCUUUCCAAGCCAGUUCCUCACUGCCUGUGGGCUCUCUACACAGCUGACUUCCAGAGAUUUGAGAUGUUUCUUUCCAUUGACUAAACACCCCCUUUACCCACAACCACUUCACCCCACGGUCAGUGCUGGGUAUCUGUGUGUCACAUACACCCUUUGGCCACCGUUCAUGGGCAAAAAGGAGCACCCUGCCUGUAAUCCCCAUUGCUGAGUGGAGACCUGGGCAGUAACUUCUCUGCCUUGUUUAACUCCCUGCAAGCAGAGGAAACCCAAAUGCUGACACCAGGCUAAAGAACUGAUACAGGAAAAGAGGACUAGAGGAACCAAAGGUGCCUGGGCUGCUCUUACUGUGACCUCCUGGUAGGACUCCAUGCCGUUGAGCACCACCUGGAUGACCUGGCGCCGCAGCUUCACGCUCUGCUCCAUGCGGUACUCGGAGUUGGUCAAGUAGAAGAGCGCAGCGCUGCCUGUCACCUGGAUGUUUUUGUCAUCCUUGUGGCACUUGAGGGCAGUGAUCACCAGCUGCAGAGAAGCAACGUGGAGCUUCAGUGCCAUGGACUUGCUGCUAAAUUUUGGAGUGGCUGUUAGAAGCCCGCAAGGAAUGUGUGGCCCAGGCAUUGCAGGAAAUGCUUAGGAAAUGAAGGUACCCAGUUUCACUGCGUUACUGGAACCCUCUCUGGAAUGGCCUGAUACAGUGUUCCAGGGUGGGGAAAAAAGACUGGGAGUGCAAAAUUCCCCUUGUCAGGGUGAGGCCAAGGCUUACCUGGAGGGCUCUCAGCAGCUGGCUGCAGCGCUCGAUGCGGGCAAUGUCAAAAAGCAGGUUGAUGGCCCGGGAAGUGAUUUCCGGCCGGUGCUCGGUGUAAGCCUCGAUAGCAUUCAGCACUUGCUCCUCGUUCUUGUCUCCACUCACCUGGCGUGGAAGAGCAGAAAGAGUCAGGGGAGAAAUUAUGAAGGAGGAAAACCAACAUGAGAAGGAAACUCUGAAACAUCAAAGGGUAUACCUUCCCUCUGCCCUGAGAGUAGAUUCAGCCCAGGAUGAGACUGAGGUUGAGGCAUUUUUCAGUCCAGAGGGAUGAGAAAGGGCACCUUUGGGGCAGGAGGAUGCUAUUUAAAAGUAGGACUCCUACUGUCUUAAAUAAUUUUCUGUAGUCACAGACACCCUUCUGGCAGGAUGAUUUCUCCAUGCUUUUCUCCAAGGGGCAUGUUCCCCAACCCUUAUAAAAACUAUGUGGGGCACAGAUCUUGCUUUCUGGCAGUUUUCUUGCAUUAUGAAGUAGUUAUUGAAAGGUCAGAGCUCAGUUGUCACACCCAAGACUUAAAGAACUCCACUCUAUUGGCAGCCAGUGUUCUCAUGUUCUUUCAACUCCUAACAAGUUCCUGCUGCCAAUAUUCCUGCAGCCUCCUUACCUUGUAGGCCGGAAUAUGUGUCAGGCGGCAAAGGGAUGUCUCAAAAAGGCCCAAGAACUGCAGUGGUCGUUUCAGACCCCGGAAGGGAGCAAUGCUGCUCUUUGCUGGCUCAAUGCUGGGAUGAAAAAAGAAGGUUGUUAAUGUUGGUACCAUGUUUCUUCAGGUGUCUCCUGCCACAGAGAUGGCUGCCAGCCCUCCAUUCACUCUGACUCUACUGCUUCAUAGCCAGAGUGAUAAAAGCUACACUUCAUUUUAUACCAGGCAGCUGCUUAUGAACAUAACUCUAAACAUUCAUCCCAAGUGAUCCUGAAUGAAAGGUGAAUGUGCUGAAUGGAACCAGCAGUAAGAAUUACUGCAGACAGGAUGCAGCUUUCCCAGGUAUUUAAAUGCUUAAGCUUUGAGGACAUCUUGCUGCUAAGGGAGAGGUGGGACAGAGUGACCAGCCAUUGUCUGCAGGUGCAGUUUCUUACAGGACAGAGAGACUUUGCUGGCUCCUACCUAAGACUGGAGCCAACACCCCAGUCACAGAAGUGUCUUCUACCUGUUGCCCACCUAGCUGGGGCAACAACACGUGUGUUGUUUUUUGUUUUUCCAAUGGAAAGUUUCUGCUAAGUGGUGUCUUCUUACAAGCAAAAUUCAGGCUGGCUUUAGACAUGUCAGAUAUGUACAGUGCUGAGUAGAUUUGUACAAUGAGCGAGCCUGUUCACGGCAAGGUUUAUAAGCUGAACUCAGCAGUGGGUUCCUCUCUGAUAGCACACGAGAAGACCAUUCCUGAAAGACCUUUCCCUAUCAGCUGGAGAAGGCUAAAGAAGGAAGAACAGAUCUGCUGACCUGAGC